AUGCGGGUAAAUUGUUAGCGGUACACUGCUUUAAAAGUCACAGGUUCAAGCCCUGUUCCGCCUACCA
rnacentral:tRNA from 1 species